rnacentral:tRNA from 1 species
AUUUAAAUAGCUUAAGUAUUAAAGUUUGAUAUUGAAGAUAUCAGGAUAAGUUGAAUCUUUUUAAAUA